rnacentral:rRNA from 1 species
GAUGAACGCUGGCGGUAUGCUUAACACAUGCAAGUCGAACGGACUCUUCGGAGUUAGUGGCGGACGGGUGAGUAACGCGUGAGAAUCUGGCUUUGGGUUCGGGACAACCACUGGAAACGGUGGCUAAUACCGGAUGUGCCGAGAGGUAAAAGAGAAAUUGCCUGAAGAUGAGCUCGCGUCUGAUUAGCUAGUUGGUGAGGUAAAGGCUCACCAAGGCAGCGAUCAGUAGCUGGUCUGAGAGGAUGACCAGCCACACUGGGACUGAGACACGGCCCAGACUCCUGCGGGAGGCAGCAGUGGAGAAUUUUCCGCAAUGGGCGAAAGCCUGACGGAGCAAUACCGCGUGAGGGAAGAAGGCUCUUGGGGUGUAAACCUCUUGUCUUAGGGAAGAACAAAAUGACGGUACCUAAGGAAUCAGCAUCGGCUAACUCCGUG